CAGCAGCCGCGGUAAUACGUAGGUGGCAAGCGUUGUCCGGAAUUAUUGGGCGUAAAGGGCUCGCAGGCGGUUUCUUAAGUCUGAUGUGAAAGCCCCCGGCUCAACCGGGGAGGGUCAUUGGAAACUGGGAAACUUGAGUGCAGAAGAGGAGAGUGGAAUUCCACGUGUAGCGGUGAAAUGCGUAGAGAUGUGAAGGAACACCAGUGGCGAAGGCGACUCUCUGGUCUGUAACUGACGCUGAGGAGCGAAAGCGUGGGGAGCGAACAGGAUUAGAUACCCCCGUAGUCCCUGUCUCUUAUAC
rnacentral:rRNA from 1 species